CGAAAGUGCCUUUUGAUGGGAUUUUAAGUCCCAGUCGGUGGGGCCCAAGGCCACUUGCAACAGUGAACCAUAACACCAUGACCAAUUAAAAUACUCUUUGCAAACCAACAAGCAGCAAAAUAUCACAGCAACAGCAGACAAAAAAAAAAAAACUAAUUAAAAUGUUCCUUUUUAAAACAAACAACAUGCACGGUAAUAUGUACUCAAAACCCUACCAAAAUAAAUGGCAAUGCUUCAGUAUGAAAGCAAAUC
rnacentral:lncRNA from 1 species